AUCUCUUAAUUUCAAUAACUCCAAGGCGUCCAACUCCAUCUUCAAAUCUACGCGCCAAACAGUGUUGGUUUUGUGGACCAGACGUGGCCCCUCGACGAAGCUAGUGCCGUGUUGCUGCCGGAUGUGUUUGGCGUCUGAAGUCUCCUUCUCUCUCUCUGACACGUUUUGUCUGGCACCUGUUAAAACAUAUUUGGAUGUGCGCACCCGUUUCUGUCUUCUCCUGUCUCCUGCUGUAAAAGUCAUCGUGGCCCACGUGCCUCUGCACCGUCUGGUCAAGGCUUCACUCCUGGUCUCACUCCAGCCUCUGUUCCAUCCAGCAUCAAACCCAUUGCUCCACCAAGGCGUUCUGACGGUAGAGACCAGUGAUGCACAGCUGUCCGGUGACUCAUGAGUUUCAACAGUCUUUCCUGUCCUUCUCUUUCUUAGAAGGAAAUCAUUUUUCUGCCUGUCCUCACUCCAGUAGUCUCCUGAUGGGAUCUGUUUUCUGCGUAGUGGGGAGACACACAUUUUUACACUGGCGUGUAUACUGUUGCUUGGUGUCUUGAGGUAAUGUCCUUGGCCCCUGUUCUGGUUUCUGCAGGACCCUGAGGCAGUGGAAUAUUCUGUCCAGCACAAGAACUCGCUUCAUAAAUUGAUAUCGACAGCGUCAUAUAUGUCUUCUGUUAGCUUUCAUAUUCACUAUUUUGUCCUCUUUUUUGUCAU